GUCGAACGAUGAACCACUUCGGUGGGGAUUAGUGGCGAACGGGUGAGUAACACGUGGGCAAUCUGCCCUUCACUCUGGGACAAGCCCUGGAAACGGGGUCUAAUACCGGAUAACACUUCCACUCUCCUGAGUGGAGGUUAAAAGCUCCGGCGGUGAAGGAUGAGCCCGCGGCCUAUCAGCUUGUUGGUGAGGUAAUGGCUCACCAAGGCGACGACGGGUAGCCGGCCUGAGAGGGCGACCGGCCACACUGGGACUGAGACACGGCCCAGACUCCUACGGGAGGCAGCAGUGGGGAAUAUUGCACAAUGGGCGAAAGCCUGAUGCAGCGACGCCGCGUGAGGGAUGACGGCCUUCGGGUUGUAAACCUCUUUCAGCAGGGAAGAAGCGAAAGUGACGGUACCUGCAGAAGAAGCGCCGGCUAACUACGUGCCAGCAGCCGCGGUAAUACGUAGGGCGCGAGCGUUGUCCGGAAUUAUUGGGCGUAAAGAGCUCGUAGGCGGCUUGUCACGUCGGUUGUGAAAGCCCGGGGCUUAACCCCGGGUCUGCAGUCGAUACGGGCAGGCUAGAGUUCGGUAGGGGAGAUCGGAAUUCCUGGUGUAGCGGUGAAAUGCGCAGAUAUCAGGAGGAACACCGGUGGCGAAGGCGGAUCUCUGGGCCGAUACUGACGCUGAGGAGCGAAAGCGUGGGGAGCGAACAGGAUUAGAUACCCUGGUAGUCCACGCCGUAAACGGUGGGAACUAGGUGUUGGCGACAUUCCACGUCGUCGGUGCCGCAGCUAACGCAUUAAGUUCCCCGCCUGGGGAGUACG
rnacentral:rRNA from 1 species